GCCCCGAUGGUGAAAUUGGUAGACACAAGGGACUUAAAAUCCCUCGGCCGAAAGGCUGUGCCGGUUCGACCCCGGCUCGGGGCACCA
rnacentral:tRNA from 1 species